UGGGGAAUUUUGGACAAUGGGCGCAAGCCUGAUCCAGCCAUUCCGCGUGCAGGACGAAGGCCUUCGGGUUGUAAACUGCUUUUGUACGGAACGAAAAGGCUCUGGCUAAUACCUGGGGCUCAUGACGGUACCGUAAGAAUAAGCACCGGCUAACUACGUGCCAGCAGCCGCGGUAAUACGUAGGGUGCGAGCGUUAAUCGGAAUUACUGGGCGUAAAGCGUGCGCAGGCGGUUAUGCAAGACAGGUGUGAAAUCCCCGGGCUCAACCUGGGAACUGCACUUGUGACUGCAUGACUAGAGUGCGUCAGAGGGAGGUGGAAUUCCGCGUGUAGCAGUGAAAUGCGUAGAGAUGCGGAGGAACACCGAUGGCGAAGGCAGCCUCCUGGGAUGACACUGACGCUCAUGCACGAAAGCGUGGGGAGCAAACA
rnacentral:rRNA from 1 species